AGAGCUUGCUUUCCAUGAGAGUGGCGCACGGGUGCGUAACACGUAUGUAACCUACCCUUAUCAGGGGGAUAGCCUCUCGAAAGAGAGAUUAAGCCCGCAUAACAUCACGAUAUAGCAUUAUAAUGUGAUCAAAUAUUUAUAGGAUAAGGAUGGGCAUGCGGAACAUUAGCUAGUUGGUAAGGUAAUGGCUUACCAAGGCUACGAUGUUUAGGGGAUCUGAGAGGAUGACCCCCCACACUGGUACUGAGACACGGACCAGACUCCUACGGGAGGCAGCAGUAAGGAAUAUUGGUCAAUGGGCGGAAGCCUGAACCAGCCAUGCCGCGUGCAGGAAGACGGCCCUACGGGUUGUAAACUGCUUUUGCAGGGGAAUAAAUCCUUCUAUGUAUAGAAGGUUGAAUGUACUCUGAGAAUAAGGAUCGGCUAACUCCGUGCCAGCAGCCGCGGUAAUACGGAGGAUCCGAGCGUUAUCCGGAUUUAUUGGGUUUAAAGGGUGCGUAGGCGGCCUAUUAAGUCAGGGGUGAAAGACGGUAGCUUAACUAUCGCAGUGCCUUUGAUACUGAUGGGCUUGAAUGUACUAGAGGUAGGCGGAAUGUGACAAGUAGUGGUGAAAUGCAUAGAUAUGUCACAGAACACCAAUUGCGAAGGCAGCUUACUAUGGUAUGAUUGACGCUGAGGCACGAAAGCGUGGGGAUCAAACAGGAUUAGAUACCCUGGUAGUCCACGCCCUAAACGAUGAAUACUCGAUGUUAGCGAUAUACAGUUAGCGUCAAAGCGAAAGCGUUAAGUAUUCCACCUGGGGAGUACGCCCGCAAGGGUGAAACUCAAAGGAGUUGAC
rnacentral:rRNA from 1 species